rnacentral:rRNA from 1 species
UGGGGUAUAUUGCACAAUGGGCGCAAGCCUGAUGCAGCCAUGCCGCGUGUAUGAAGACGGCCUUCGGGUUGUAAAGUACUUUCAGCGGGGAGGAAGGGAGUAAAGUUAAUACCUUUACUCAUUGACGUUACCCGCAGAACAAGCACCGGCUAACUCCGUGCCAGCAGCCGCGGUAAUACGGAGGGUGCAAGCGUUAAUCGGAAUUACUGGGCGUAAAGCGCACGCAGGCGGUUUGUUAAGUCAGAUGUGAAAUCCCCCGGCUGAACCUGGGAACUGCAUCUGAUACUGGCAAGCUUGAGUGUCGUAGAGGGGGGUAGAAGUCCAGGUGUAGCUGGGAAAUGCGUAGAGAUCUGGAGGAAUAACGGUGGCGAAGGCGGCCCCCUGGACGAAGACUGACGCUCAGGUGCGAAAGCGUGGGGAGCAAACAGG